GCGCUUGCGUCGGCAGCAUGUAUACUAAAACUGGGCCGAUACAGAGAAGAUUAGCACAGCCGGGGCACAAGGAUGACACGCAAAUUCGUGAAGCAUUCCAUAUUUUU